GAUGUUUUAGUGUUAGUGUUUUGACAACAGUCGAACAAGAUGAAAGGUUUUGUGCUAUUCCUGGUUGUCGUGCUUCUUGCGUACACGUACGCUGCCCCACAAGCAACCAACUAUGGUAACGUGCACGCUUCAGGUGACUCUUCAGCUUCUGGAGUUGUUUCGAACUCAACUUUCGGUGACGGAGCAUUCGGUAAAGGCCAUGGUGAAAAGAGGUGUGGUAUCGUCCAACAGCUUGUUACAGUAUUUUGGAAUGUUUGUUGAAACAAAAAUAAAGUGAAAUGAUUUACCAUACACCAUUUUUGUAUUAGUCUGAUAAUAAUAAUGCUGAAAAUGUUAUGAAAUAAAUAAGUAAAUAAUUAUAAUUUUAA